GUGAAUGCUGGCGGUAUGGAUAAGGCAUGCAAGUCGAAUGGGUUUAGACCCAUGGCAGACGAGGUAGUAACACGUAGGUAUGUACCCGGAAGUCGGGCAUAACUCGCCGAAAGGCGAGAUAAUUCCCGAUGGUCUCGAAAGAGUAAAGAUUUAUCGCUUCCGGAGCGGCCUGCGUAAUAUCAGCUAGUUGGUAAGGUAAUGGCUUACCAAGGCUAUGACGUUUAGGGGAGCUGAGAGGCUGACCCCCACCGAUGAAACUGUGACACGGUUCAUACCCCUACGGGGGGCCGCAGCCGAGAAUAUUCGACAAUGGGCGAGAGCCUGAUCGAGCGAUACCGCGUGGUGGAUGAAGCGAUUCGUCGCGUAAACACCUUUUAUGAGGGAGGAAGUUAUUGACGUUACCUCAUGAAUAAGGGGCUCCUAACUCUGU
rnacentral:rRNA from 1 species